rnacentral:rRNA from 1 species
AGUGAACGCUGGCGGUAGGCCUAACACAUGCAAGUCGAACGGCAGCACAGGAGAGCUUGCUCUCUGGGUGGCGAGUGGCGGACGGGUGAGGAAUACAUCGGAAUCUACUCUGUCGUGGGGGAUAACGUAGGGAAACUUACGCUAAUACCGCAUACGACCUACGGGUGAAAGCAGGGGACCUUCGGGCCUUGCGCGAUUGAAUGAGCCGAUGUCGGAUUAGCUAGUUGGCGGGGUAAAGGCCCACCAAGGCGACGAUCCGUAGCUGGUCUGAGAGGAUGAUCAGCCACACUGGAACUGAGCCACGGUCCAGAGGCCUACGGGAGGCAGCAGUGGGGAAUAUUGGACAAUGGGCGCAAGCCUGAUCCAGCCAUACCGCGUGGGUGAAGAAGGCCUUCGGGUUGUAAAGCCCUUUUGUUGGGAAAGAAAUCCAGCUGGCUAAUACCCGGUUGGGAUGACGGUACCCAAAGAAUAAGCACCGGCUAACUACGUGCCAGCCGCCGCAGUAA